CGGUGGAGGCGGGGUCCUAGGCUAUGUGCCCGGUGCCUGUACUCCCGGGCCUGUGCUGUUGAAUUAAUGCUCUGGGCCGUGCAUCCCCCU
rnacentral:pre_miRNA from 1 species